AGAAACUUUUGACUGGUAGUGUACAUGCACACAAAAGGCACCAAUGCACAGAAAAACACACCUAUACAACAUUAUCAGUUCAUUUUUAAUUGCAUUGUUUAAUGAAAUACUCAUUCAACUUUCUAUUUAAGGAAAUGCAUAUGGUGCUGUUGCUAUGGCACACUAAAGACCAUAUUGUCAAUUUACUGUUAAAAAUAAAAUGAUUUCAGCCGAAAUUACCUGUGUUGUUCUUUUUUUAUAUUGGCCCACACUCAAAAAAAUGAACAAGGAAGGUUGUGCACUUUACAUAAUGUAUUUAUAUUCAGUUUACUUAUAAUAAUUGUCUUUGUUGACUGGAAAGGUUUUUUUUUUUUAAGGUCCACGUAAUUAUGUCUCACCUUAACUGUACAAAAUCCUAACGCGUUGUCUAAACACAAACCAUUUAUGUUGAGUAAAAAAUUCUUACAUCCAGAGGGUGGCAGUAUAAUGCGAUGCCAACUGCCAUGAAACCCCAAAGAAGAAGAGCAAGACGCGUCAGACUACACGCGCACAAAGAUAUUUGACUGUGCACAUCUGCGUGACCCCCUGCAAAGUUUUUCUUCGAUUGGUUUUGACAGAGGGACGUCUUACCUUUUCAACGGCUGGUAAAGGUCCUGAAUGAAAGGUGUGUUUUGUGUUCCUGCCAAGGUGCUUUACUCACAAUAGAAUGAAACCGUUGAAAAGAAGAGGGAGUGCCUCCUCAGGGCACUUUGUAGCUACCUAAAUGAAGAUCCGAGCAGCCUCUUCAAAGAGUAUCUGAUGGCUGUGCUGCCCAGAGGGACCUCGAACAAGUUGUCUUUGGCAUCUACAGCAUUAAUGCUGAGGGAGGUGAUGCCACCACCACUCCAGUUGAUGUUGGAAUAGUGAUUGAGGGUGUUGAAGUGCUUCACGACUUGGGAGACAUCGCUUCUGCAUGUGCACUCUUAAUGGGUGUCAUAUGCAAUGAACCUGAACUGAAAACGUUCUUUGAGGUGCUUCAGAAAAUCUUCCUCUAGCUGGAUGCUACUCUCAACCAAGGUACAGAUGAUUAAAAACAAACUGUAUGAGUGAACCAGCAUUGAGCGUGUGGCGUUUAACAUGAAGGCCUGCUUUGCACUUGAAACCAUUUAAUUGAAAAUCACUUGAACGAUUAUAUACCUUUUUUUCUUUUUUGUGAGACACGCACCAUUGGGUGACAUGCAUGUAAAGCGUGUCCAGAGUUGUGAAUUAUUAUUAUUAUUAUUAUUAUUAUUAUUAAUUUCUUUUUUUUUUUUUUUUUUUUUUUUUUAUUAUAAAGUUAAAGAACUUUAAAUGCUCCCAUUCAUGGGUAUGUUUAACCGUUUUUUUUGUUUUGUUUUUUUCGUCUUUGAUAAACAGUUGUGUUGUAUUGUUGAUGAACUCUUGUGUUGGUGAAUAAAGGAACUAACAAAUGUUGAGUUGUUUACUGAAGUAAUUUGUGUGGAACCUGUUGACAAACUAGAGUUAAUUCAAUCUAACUAGUAAAAAUUAAAUUUAGUUAAAGCAUUUUAUUUUGAUUAAUUACGCUUGAAUUGAAUGUUUUGUUGUAAAAUCAUUAGUUUACUUUGAAUAGACAAAUAUGUAAUAUGC